rnacentral:sRNA from 1 species
GAGAUAUGAUGCGCAGGAGAAGCGCUUUCUUUUGCGAGCACCCUGAACCAGACCAUGACCCAGACCCUCAAGUACGCCUCCAGAGUGUUCCAUCGCGUCCGCUGGGCGCCCGAGUUGGGCGCCUCCCUAGGCUACCGAGAGUACCACUCAGCACGCCGGAGCUUGGCAGACAUCCCAGGCCCCUCUACGCCCAGCUUUCUGGCCGAACUUUUCUGCAAGGGGGGGCUGUCGAGGCUACACGAGCUGCAGGUGCAGGGUGCCGCGCGCUUCGGGCCGGUGUGGCUAGCCAGCUUUGGGACAGUGCGCACCGUGUACGUGGCUGCCCCUGCACUCGUCGAGGAGCUGCUGCGACAGGAGGGACCCCGGCCCGAGCGCUGCAGCUUCUCGCCCUGGACGGAGCACCGCCGCUGCCGCCAGCGGGCUUGCGGACUGCUCACUGCGGAAGGCGAAGAAUGGCAAAGGCUCCGCAGUCUCCUGGCCCCGCUCCUCCUCCGGCCUCAAGCGGCCGCCCGAUACGCCGGAACCCUGAACAACGUAGUUUGCGACCUUGUGCGGCGUCUGAGGCGCCAGCGGGGACGUGGCACGGGGCCGCCCGCCCUGGUUCGGGACGUGGCGGGGGAAUUUUACAAGUUCGGACUGGAAGGUGAGUCCCAGGACAGAGCUGGGCAGGCGUCGGGGGCGCCCUACCAGAGCCUCCCGGAACCCUGACGGCGCCCCCUCCCGGCAAGGCAUCGCCGCGGUUCUGCUCGGCUCGCGCUUGGGCUGCCUGGAGGCUCAAGUGCCGCCCGACACGGAGACCUUCAUCCGCGCUGUGGGCUCGGUGUUUGUGUCCACGCUGUUGACCAUGGCGAUGCCCCACUGGCUGCGUCACCUUGUGCCUGGGCCCUGGGGCCGCCUCUGCCGAGACUGGGACCAGAUGUUUGCAUUUGCUCAGAGGCACGUGGAGCGGCGAGAGGCAGAGGCAGCCAUGAGGAACGGAGGACAGCCCGAGAAGGACCUGGAGUCUGGGGCGCACCUGACCCACUUCCUGUUCCGGGAAGAGUUGCCUGCCCAGUCCAUCCUGGGAAAUGUAACAGAGUUGCUAUUGGCGGGAGUGGACACGGUGUCCAACACGCUCUCCUGGGCUCUGUAUGAGCUCUCCCGGCACCCCGAAGUCCAGACAGCACUCCACUCAGAGAUCACAGCUGCCCUGAGCCCUGGCUCCAGUGCCUACCCCCCAGCCACUGUUCUGUCCCAGCUGCCCCUGCUGAAGGCGGUGGUCAAGGAAGUGCUAAGACUGUACCCUGUGGUACCUGGAAAUUCUCGUGUCCCAGACAAAGACAUUCAUGUGGGUGACUAUAUUAUCCCCAAAAAUACGCUGGUCACUCUGUGUCACUAUGCCACUUCAAGGGACCCUGCCCAGUUCCCAGAGCCAAAUUCUUUUCGUCCAGCUCGCUGGCUGGGGGAGGGUCCCACCCCCCACCCAUUUGCAUCUCUUCCCUUUGGCUUUGGCAAGCGCAGCUGUAUGGGGAGACGCCUGGCAGAGCUUGAAUUGCAAAUGGCUUUGGCCCAGAUCCUAACACAUUUUGAGGUGCAGCCUGAGCCAGGUGCGGCCCCAGUUAGACCCAAGACCCGGACUGUCCUGGUACCUGAAAGGAGCAUCAACCUACAGUUUUUGGACAGAUAGCCCCAUGGAAAGAGACUGUCAUCAUCACCCUUUCAUUCAUCAUAAGGAUAAGAUUUUUUGUAGGCACAAGACCAAGGUAUACAUCUUCCCCUAAUGCCUAUCUGACCAAACUGGAUAGAACCACCAUAGUGAAGUGUGAGGCGGCCCUGACCAAUGUGUGAAGUAUGCACUUGGCCUGACUCAGGAAGCCAGGUGAGAAAACCAUGGUCUCUCUGCUUGCUUGGCCCUUCUGAUCAUAUAUGCAUCCCCCAAGGAUGAAAUCAGAUUUUAACUAAUAAUGCUGGAUGGCCUGAGGAAAGAUUCAACUGCCUCUCUUUUUGGGCUUUCAUAGUGUUCAUUGAUGCUGCUGGCUAAGCAUUUAUCAAAGCAUAAGCUCAGUAACUGUGCAUCUGGUCUGUACCUGGUUGGUCCUUUGUCUUUGCAUGUAAGCUCUUUGAGAGGAAGGGUGAAGCCUUAUUUGUUUUUUAUGUCCCCUGCCAGGGCCUGUCUCUGACUAGGUGUCACCAUACACAUUCUUAGAUUGAAUCUGAACCAUGUGGCAGAAGGGAUAAGGCUUUGUCUACCCCCUUCCUUCUUUGUCUUGCCCCUAGGAAGGUGAAUCUGCCCUAGCCUGGUUUACGGUUUCUUAUAACUCUCCUUUGCUCUCUGGCCACUAUUAAGUGGGUUUGCCCCAUCACUUAGUUCUCAGGCAGAGACAUCUUUGGGCCUGUCCCUGCCCAGGCCUCUGGCUUUUUAUAUUGAAAAUUUUAAAAUAUUCAUAAAUUUUAGAAUAAAUCAAAUAUUCCAUUCUUGA